AAUCUCAGAGCCAGGCGCAGG
rnacentral:misc_RNA from 1 species